UACGUAGGGGGCUAGCGUUGUCCGGAAUCAUUGGGCGUAAAGCGCGUGUAGGCGGUUCGGUAAGUCCGCUGUGAAAGUCGGGGGCUCAACCCUCGAAUGCCGGUGGAUACUGUCGGACUAGAGUACGGAAGAGGCGAGUGGAAUUCCAGGUGUAGCGGUGAAAUGCGUAGAUAUCUGGAGGAACACCGGUGGCGAAGGCGGCAUCCUGGACCGGCAUUGACGCUGAGGAGCGAAAGCCAGGGGAGCAAACGGG
rnacentral:rRNA from 1 species